rnacentral:rRNA from 1 species
UACGUAGGGUGCAAGCGUUAAUCGGAAUUACUGGGCGUAAAGCGUGCGCAGGCGGUUGGGCAAGACCGAUGUGAAAUCCCCGGGCUUAACCUGGGAAUGGCAUUGGUGACUGCACGGCUAGAGUGCGGCAGAGGAGACUGGAAUUCCUGGUGUAGCAGUGAAAUGCGUAGAUAUCAGGAGGAACACCGAUGGCGAAGGCAGGUCUCUGGGCUGACACUGACGCUCAUGCACGAAAGCGUGGGGAGCAAACAGG